CCUAUACAACGAGUCAUAGAACCCUAUGGCUCAGGAGUACCAGUUUCCAGUAUGGAUGCGCUAAGUCAAUGGGUAAACCCGUUAGUAAAUCUAUGAACUAAUACCGCCGGGAGCAUAUAGACCCUAUGCCCCGGAGUAACAGUCUCCCGUAUGGAAAUACCGUGUGAAUGCACGAAGCAGCAGUCAGUGAUUCUAUGAACUAAUACAGCCGGAAGCCUAGACACUAUGCCCCGGAGUAACAGUCUCCCGUAUGGAAAUACCGUGUGAAUGCACUAAGCAGCCGUCAGUAACUCUAUGAACUAAUACAGCCGGAAGCAUAGACACUAUGCCCCAGAGUAACAGCCUCCCGUAUACUUAUGGUAGUAUGGUACUUAUCUAUGAUUUCAAGGUUUAGUUUCAACAUUGGCCCGUUGCAAGGGAUUGCGCUGUAGCCUAACAUAGGCCUUCAAACACCAGUAUGGACAAAAUCAGUGUGGCACUCAGUAAAAGAAACAAACAGAACGAAAAUAAACCAAGACAAAACAGUGGCUAUUAUCACUACCAACACAGUCGUUCCUGCUCCGUCAUUGGCAACGCUGUUGACAUAAACUCACGAACCCUUGCGUAAAGCAGUCCAACCUCCGUGUGGAUGCAGCUCACACUAAUAAUGGACACAGCAAGGGUACGGAACCUCCAGUGUUCGUUUGGCAUAUCCCUUGUCCAUCAACGUUACUAUGCGCCCAGUCUGUGUGAAAGCCCCAGGGGCGGAGCCAAAGGGGUGGCCGGGGGGGCACUGGACCCCUCUGAAAUCUGAUUGGACCCCCCAGGUGCCACCCCAGAUGAUUGACAUGUCACGGCACCGCACGUCUGGUUGAAAAGAGCCUGUUGCAUUUUGUAAUCGGUAAUACCUGUUGACUGCUAUAUCCCUUCUGUGCAGUAGCUGGCGCUAUGUAUUACAAAGAGUUGUCAUUCACCCACUGUCCACCAGCAAGCAUUAGAGACAACAGAGAAGGAGAAGAAGAGAGUCAAACGCUCAAAGAGAAUAUCGCGGCAGGGAGGAUUUUUUGCACAAGACAGCACAGCAGCCUACUUGACGAAUAGUGAAAUACACGUUCUAAGGGUGAGUUGAGAAUGAAAAGGCAGGGGGAGCUCUAUAACUACUUUGCAAAGAGAAGCAAGUCAGGCAGCCCUGGCAUCAGCAGUCAUGACAGCUUGCACACUAGUCAGGAGAGUCAACGUGAGAUACCCAGCCCGCCAUCACCAGCUUCAUUGAGGGAGGACACAGACACCUCUGACCAGGAUGAUGAUCUAGAGCCAGUUCAAGUUGCAGUGGACCACUUCCCAGCUGUAUCCACGUUUGCUCCUCCAAAAGGACCCAGUGACAUUUCAAGAUCCAAAGCGGAAGGUCCUGUUCAGCCAUCUCUUUCCCAAUUCCCAAGAACUCAACAUGGAACACAUUGCUGUUGGACUUACAAGUGAUCUACACUUCUGAUUCAGUGAGGAGAAAGUAAUCACUUGUGUCUCUGUUAGUUUUGGGGUGCUGUGUGUGUGUGUGUGUCUCUGUCUGUCUGUGUGUGUGUGUUUCUGUGUUAGUUUUGGGGUGCUGUGUGGGUGUCUUUUUUCACUUUCUUACUUAAUUACUGUCAUGACUAGGCCCUACACUGUUCUAAAAGUUUAGUUUGGUAAUCAGACCGUUCCUCUGGUCAUGGUUAAAAAAAAAAAAACUGCACUACUUCAUGUCA